UAUCUGAGCUCAGAUUUUGCUAAAUUAAAAUACAUUGAUACAUUAACUCCUACUAAUUCGGAGAGAUCAGUCUCAUCUUGACUCACGCAUUUCCUUGACGAAUACUUGACUGCACCCAAAAAUCUUUCAUCAUUGAAUUAUAAGCUCAGAUAGUCUAGCAUCAAAGUACAGUGAGUUGCUUACAAGUCACCAUGGUGAUCU
rnacentral:lncRNA from 1 species